GGAAUAUAUCUCAGUUGGUAGAGUGCUUGCCUCACAUGCGCAAGUCCCUGGGUUCAAUCCCCAAUACCA
rnacentral:tRNA from 1 species